ensembl:rRNA 5_8S_rRNA 5.8S ribosomal RNA
AACUCUUAGUGGUGGAUCACUCGGCUCGUGAGUCGAUGAAGAAAGCAGCUAGCUGCGAGAACUAAUGUGAAUUGCAGGACACAUUGAUCAUUGACACUUCAAAUGCACUUUGCGGCCCCAGGUUCCUCCUGGGGCUACGCCUGUCUGAGGGUCG